rnacentral:lncRNA from 1 species
UAAAUGUGCAUAAAGCACUUGAUUUGAGUAACAGAGUGCAGAUUGCACUCCAAAUCAGCGGGGUGAGUUUAUUCCGUUUAGUCUGUAAAACAGGGGAAGGCACUGUCCAUCCCUGAAGGGUGCCCCUGGCAGUGUGGGGUAUUUGGAGGAACAUGGGCAGGAGCCCUCCUGGCAUCACCAGCCCUUUAGCACACACAGGACCACUCACAAUGCAGCUCAAAAGGAUGGGGCAAAACAACAAGGAAGAUGUAAUAAAACACCCCCUCUGUGCAGGGGGCAGAACUGUGUGUAAAGCCCUAAGAGCACCGGAUCCAGAAAAUAAGCUGUGGGUGAAGGCAGGGACACCAUCCCCUGCCAUGGGAAGGACCUUCAGGAAGGUUUGUGAGAUGCCUAGGAUCAGCUAUUCCUUAACAAGGCAGAGAAAUCCUCUCCUGCCUCGUUCUUGCUGUCCUGGGCUGAGGCUGCAGCCUGGCUGGGUGCUUUGGCCACAGCAAUCCUCCACCCAGCAGAGCCAGGCAGCAAGAGCCUUGUAAUAGCAACAAUCCUUUAUUCACAAGCUGGAGCAAAAAAGGGAUCUGCAGGCAGGGGGAGAGAAGGGGGUGGGGGGCAAAACACAACUGAUCUUGUAAAAGAGACCCUUAAAAAAUGCCAUGCAUGAAGGCCCCUGCUCCUUGCUUUUUGUUUAUCAGUCUGCAGUCAGAAGAGGAGAAUGCAGUAAGUGCGUGGCACACAGGGAACCAGAGGUAGGAGGGUCUCUUUUAAUAAAAAAGAAUAUACCUGAACAAAGAAAAAGUUUCUGCUAAACUGAUGGUGGCAGAUGGCAUCAGCCCCACCAUGUUCCCUUUCAAUUGCGGGAAAAUAUAGUAAAGCAAUUUAAUGAAAACGCUUAAAUAAGCAAACAGUGCAGUUAAUUGAACCCAUAUGCAUUAGGAAGGAAAUCUAAAGUAUACUGAUUCAUUAAGUUUUAUAUAACUGUAAACCCCCAGAACCUAAGACAGAGUAAGAAGCCAUGAUGAAGUGCCAGCUAGAAGGGGACCUUCUACCCAGCUUCACUUCGAUCUGUUUUGUUAUGACAAGAACAAGUGGUUUUAACAAGUACACCAUAAAUCAGGAGUGUGCACUCCAGCCUGGAGCCUUCCAGGUACCAAACUCUGCUGCAAGCUCACAUUCCUUUUCCUCUGGUAGACUUUUUUAUUUUCCAAGACAGAAAUAACUGGAACUUGGAUGCUGCCAUCUGAAAAGAAAAUGAGCAGGAAAGCACUGGCCCUUGAGGUCUAUAUUAUAUUUUUUUUAUUCAAGAAAACUUGGUGUUGCACCUGGAUGAUGAUCCCUGAGACACUAAAUUGAGGGCUACAUGUCCCUCACAUCUGGCUUUGGCAGGUAAAACAAACUCCUUUUUUUGGCAGUGAGCAUGGUUCCCCAGCUGUGACUUUUGGACAGAAAUAGGAUAGACAGAAAGCUGGGACUGGAAAGGCGACUGCUAUACUCACAGUUAAAAACUACCCAUAAAUAAAAUCCCGGGGAGAAAGCAGCUCUGGCACCACUGAAGGAAGUUCAAAAGUUCCCUUUGAUUACCAGAAGGGCAGAACUUCAGAUCAGAUCAGGAAACCUCUGGGGAGGUUUGGUUCAGGAUUUGCCUUGUGUGAUUUGGAGUGGAGGUAUCGACCCUGUUAGCUGCUUUCACUGGGCUUUCCCUGGCUCAUGACACAAGAUCCAUUCAGUUUUCAGAGAAAUCUGGUUUUCUGCAAAUAAAAUCUGGCAAGUGAUGAUGAACUGAUCCCAAGGCACAACUGUGAGCUGGGUUUUGGAUUUUUCAGUGAUGCUGAUUCAAAAUGUCAUCACAGUGAGCAAAGACCUUCAUCCUCAGUGAUUUGGGUCUGAAAGGAAGGGGCCUACAGCCAAGGGAAGGGUCUCAAGGUAACUGGAAGGACAUCCAGAGCAUCCAGGCUGGUCCAGGAGAUCAUCAGUAACCUGUGGAGACACUGAGGCCUUUGCCAUCCAUAUUCACCUGCUUUGUACACUCAGCAGAUAGAGGAUGUAACAAGAGAAAAAACUACACAGGCAAAAAAUUGCAAAAAUUAACUUUUCAUUCAUACAGGUUGACAAUGGAUGCUAAGUCAUUGCACAGUGCAAUUCUUCCUACUCAGGACAUAAAAAAAAUCCAACUACUUGAAAAUAAGCAAAAAGAAAGCAGACAUCUUUGACAAACAUGCAGAACAUUAUCGAAAAAAAUUAUUGAUUUUAAUAAACAGUAAAAAUGACAAUAGAUUUUGAGGCUGAGACUUCAUAGAGACUUACAAAUAUAUUGGGUUUUUUGUCUCUCUGCAGGUGGUGCUGUGGGGAUCCCAAGGGAUGGGGAGUGAUGGGGACAUGGAGUUGCUUGUGGUAACCUGACCCUACCACCCAGAGCACUUUGGCCAUGCUGCAAGAGAGGCAGCCCCAUUCUGAAGGGAAAAGUUCUGCUGGUAGGCAGGUGUCCACAUCUCCAUUCAGGUCCCAGGGCAGAUCUGGGGACACGCUGAGGCGCCACAGUGUCCCCAGAGAGGAGGGUGGCCAUCCCAGCUGCAGUUCCUCUGCCUGGGGCUCAGGUCUGUCACCAGCUGUCCUGGCCCUGCUGCAUUUCCCAGCAAUGCUGGAGACUUAGACCACAAUAGAAGGAAAUCACUAAAGCUGAAUUGCUCCAAGUAAGUCCUCAGCAGGGUUUGACUGGUAAAUAUUUAACAAGGAGAACUCCCUAUCCUCUCCUGGUACGUAUUAAACUAAUACAUUUAUUUUAACAAGGGAAACGGUUUCCCCAAGCUCCUGCUCAAUUUGAGCCCUUGACUUCUACAAAAGCCUCAGUAAGGCUGGCUUCCUGGGGCUCAGUAAUUCACUGGGACUAAACGAGAGAUGGCUCUGAGCCAUGAACUUGGAGUCUGGAGGUGACAGGACCUCCCCAAGGUUGGGGAGAGCUCGGUACUGGGGUUUCCAUUCCCACCUGCCUUCAGACUGGUCCAAGACCCACCUCAGGACAUGCCUGCCACCACCAGCUUCUGACCACUUCAGCCAUCCUCUGGAGCCAGGUUGGCUGUAUCCCACCUGUUUUUCCAUGUAGUUUCCAUGUGUUGGAAGCAGUUCUGAUGCCAAGUUCUCCCCACAGAAGCUUUGCGAAGCGCUGGCUCCACCAACACCCAUCCCACACUUCCUCGAUCCCCAGUCCUUCCUGCUGCCUCUCCCCAUGCUCAGAUGGAGCCAGGUGUCAUGGGCAAGGGCGUGAUGCUGGGGGAGCGAGCAGUUCGCAUUCCUUGUCCCCCACCUGGUGAUGCUGAGGGUUUAUUUCCCCUUGGCUCUGCUCUUUCCUCCAUUCCAUGAACCAGAAGGGGACUGGCACCCCCUGAGCAGAAGUGCUUUUACAACCAGUGAUCUUCUGAGAUGCCCUAAGCCAUUUCUCCUCAGGAAACCCUGCUGAGCUAUCUCCUCGUGCUUUCUGACCUAAGCAGGACACACUCACAAAUGAAGCCCCACACGUGAGAGUUUGGUUCUCUGUAAGACCCUCCCACAGGACCUGGGGCUCUGUCCCACUGUGGGCUGUGCUCCUUUGUGCUCCAAGCAGGAAGGUGGCUGCCCUGUGAAUACUGCCUCUGCAAAGCAUGCCCAGAACAGCUCACAGGACAUGUCCCUGGUGCCACAGCCCACCCAUGGGCACCCACAAACUGCAUGGCUGCUUUCCAAGGCAUUGCUGCUUCUGGGGGUCCCAGAGAUGGUCCCAUCCCCUACAGGCAGCAGAGGCUCCUGCCAUCCCAUCUGGCAGAGCCCAGUGCUGCCCUCAAGGGCUGCAGGCAGCUCCGAGGCUGCUGGACUCUCUCUAGUUCCCUCUAAUAUUUGACUAUACUAAAAUUUUAUACUAAUAUUUUUUCAGACUUUCCUUCAAGGAAAUAAGAAUCUCUGGAAGCAACUCCCAACUUUGCAUCUUUGCUCCGAGCCAUCCCAUGACUCCAGCACUUCCACUCUGACUCACGGGUAGAGGGCAGGUUUGAACAACUGUGGCUGCUUCUGCCAAGGCAAUUAUGGCUCCUGGCAUCACAGCCCAAAAGUCUCUGGGAAACUUUCCCUGCUCAGCUUACCCUGGUUGCAGUGUGUGAGAUGAUGUCUGACAUUGCCAGGAGAGAUGCAGGCACUUGAGGGGGAAAGGGAAGAUGUGGGGCCUUGAUGCAUUUGGAACAGCUCCCUGGUUCCAUAAAGCAUCUUCUGCACACUUUGGCAUCUCUCCCCAUGCCUGGUGGGUAGGUAGUGCUGGGAGAUCCUUUCAGGUGAUGCUGUGAGCAUGAAAACAUCCAAUAAAACUUGCUGUGGUCUGGGCACCUGACUUCUUUUCUCCUGCCCCUAUGAUUUGACACAUUUACUCUUUGUCACCACUAAAACGUGUCUCUGAACAUCCAUUCCCCAAAUAUUCCAGUCUGCCUUCAGUUCUUCCCAAUAUUUAAUAAACACACCUCUUGAAAAGGGCUGAGGGGAGACAAGGAAUGUUUACCUUGCCCUCACAAGCAAACAGAAAGUCUGUCCCUGAUCCCAUCCCCACCUGUCCCAGCCCACAGCAGGCAGUGAGGUCUCUCCCACUGUCAAUAAUAUCAGUAGGAAAAUCCUUUCCACUCUUCUUUUCUGGGAUUGUGAUUCCAGCAAGCCUUACAGCAGCUUGGCAGUACAGUAAAUAAGAAACAGAUUUCCAAAUGUUUUGAUUUACCAUCUUUCCUUUGUCGCAUCUGAGCCUGGGGGCUGAGGACCUGACUCCAGAAAGUCUCCAUCCAGAUCACCAACCUGCACCCACAGGCAGUAACCCCAUGGUGAGGCAGGACCUGGCAUGGGCUCAGCCUGCCUGGGGAUAUCCCAGAGGAGAGUGUGCCACGCAGAGCAGCAGCUCAUCAGGCCAACAGAAAUCCACACGCAUCUCUACAGAAGUGCCCAGUUCCAGUGCAAAAUGGAAAAUUGGACAGAAAAGAAGCCACUGGAGCACAUCCCAUGCUGAGGGUGGUAAGCCAUGAAACAUUCACUGCAGUUGCUUCUGUGCUGGUCUGAGAUGUUGUGCUGUUCCUCUUACCAUUGUCCCCAGCUGUAUUUUCCCCAGACGCUCUUUCAUAACUGUCAGGAUUUUAAUGACAGUCUCAAAGCACUGGGUUUGAUCCUCUUCCCACAUUAGCAUCAGUCCAGAUUAACUUAAUCAGUUGGAACAAGCCCUGGUGCAUGGGCAUGCAAGAGGAGCACAAAUAGCAGGAUUCAGGUACAUAUCCCUUUUAUAACAAAAAAAAACAUUUUCAGGACUUUUCCUAAUCUUCUUUUAACUGGGCUCUCCACUUGUUGAACUAGGGGGUUCUCACUGAGCUCAAACCCUUCCCUAAAAUAUUCCUUGAGGUGGCUGCAGGUAACAUGACUUUAUGCAUUAGAGCAUGAUGCUACCUGUGAGUGUCACAUCAAAUACAGCAUCCAUCUGAAGAUUACCUCUUGUGCAGAGUGGGGCUGGACUCCAGUCAGUAGUACAAUUUUGGAACAAACUUUGAGCCCUUUCUCAAGUGGAAAAUCUCUGUGUGAUGCAGUUAUCUUGCAGAAUAAAGGCUAUUUUCCCUGUCUGAUUCACACAGGUGAUGACUAAGCUCAUGAAGCAUCUCUCAGCCCAUGUGUUAUUCACAGAUCUUUCAUCCAAUACCUUCUCCCAGCACAGGAAAAAAAACAUUCUUCAACCUAAUGAUCGCAGAGGGAAACCUCUUCUCUGUCCAUGCCUCACACUUCCCAGGGUCUGCAGCCUUGGAGAAAUAAGUCAUGACCCCUCAAGGAAGUCCUCUGGAAAAGACCAGUCACUGGGCUGCAUAUAAAACCUCCAAACUUUAUCCUCAUAGAUUAAUUUUUCUCUUUUGAAGACAAUAUUUCACGCAUUGCAGAUUCGGUUUUUGAAUACGUCAGAGUCAGUUAAUGGGCUCAGAUUAGUCCCAGCCUGGUUUCACCAAAGCCAAAGUGGCAGCAGUAAGAGACACAGCCUCCAACACCAACAUGCCUCUGAGCAGAGUCCUGCUGUCUGCUGCGCAAGGAUGACUUGCAAAGUAGGCAGAUAAAGCGUGUGGUUAUGAAUUUCGUAAUGCUGGCACUCAGAUGCCAUGGUGCAGGGUAAUCCCACGGAUCAUGGAGGGAAUAUUUUGAGGGCAGAGCUUCAAAGCAGUGUCUAGAUGCUGCAGGAACUGAUGAUGGCAUGGAUUUAUUUCCCAACCCUCAUUUUCUCUACUAUUUUCUUAGCUACUACAGCCCUUGUUUUAAUCUCAGGUGUCAAAGCAGAUCUGAGACAGUCAGUGCCAUGGCUAGAGGGGACAAUCCCUGUUUCCUAUGAAUGUGUGAGCUGGACAAACCGGGAGCGAGGACCUGGAAUUUGUCACCCUCCAAACCAGGCUCACAGGUGCUUCUCAUGCUGUUACCCCUUGUGCAGGCACUUAUGAACCUGCUAGAGCCUCACAGCAGCAUCACAGCUCUGUGUGAGGGGUGCUGCAGGGUGGUAGGAACAGGCUGGAAAGCAAAAACAGCAUGGGCAGAUUCUGUGAACAGUCCAGUGGUGUCCAAAAUCCAGCCAUGGACACAUGCACACAGUGUAUGAUCACACACUAAUCAAUAAGACAUCAGAGUUAUGGUGGGCAGUGCUCGAUACUAAAUAGGCAGAGUCCUAUUGGGUUAUAGGACAAAAUCAACAUCACCCUGGUGAGUAACUUGGGAAGUAAUUAAGAGCAGUUUUAUAGGUGCCAGGUCCCGCUGAGCGAUAGACCAGUAAAACUGUGUCUGAGUCUUCUGAGGGACGGAUGUGAGGAUGGAGCACACAGGCCAGGCUCCGCUACAGCGGGGACAGUGCCUGCCCAUCCCCACUCCUCUGACACCUGCAGAGCUCAGGGCACUUUACACGGGAGCCAGUUACCCUCUCACCCCCAUGCUGCACAUUCUGGAAUGGCUCCACCUGCUUUGGAGCUGAUUCACACACGGUACUAACCAAAACUAAAGGGCCAUGCUCCCAAAAGGUUGGACCAAAAUCUUUAAGCAGUUAAGCUUUGAGAAUGCACUGAAAGAGUGUUGCUCCCAGGGUGGGCAUGCUCUGCAACUCCCUGAUCUGACCACCAAACACCUCCAGGCUGGGCAUCCAGAAAUUGAGGUGACCAGGAAGAGCAGGGUGUUUUCCCAGAGCCAGGCUUUGGGUUUUUGCAGUUCAGCCUCAGCAGAAUGGGCAGGAGGCUCUUUCCAAGAUGCCAAAAGGAAACACAGCAGUGGGACCCAUCCAGCAUUGGGUCCUCGCUCCCUGAAUCCUGCAGCCAGCGCUUGGCUGACCCAGCACCAGGGCCUGGGGAGCCAGCUCACGUUCCCAGACCAAGGCAACAUUUUUGUCACGCCAAUUUAAACCAUUAAUAAUUGUCUCCCAAACCCUCCCAAGCUUCCAA